rnacentral:rRNA from 1 species
GCAGUCGAACGAUGAAGGAGGAGCUUGCUCCUCCGGAUUAGUGGCGAACGGGUGAGUAAUACGUGAGCAAUGUGCCCUUGACUCUGGGAUAAGCGCUGGAAACGGCGUCUAAUACCGGAUACGACCACCGGAGGCAUCUCCUGGUGGUGGAAAGAACUUCGGUCAAGGAUCAGCUCACGGCCUAUCAGCUAGUUGGUGAGGUAAUGGCUCACCAAGGCGACGACGGGUAGCCGGCCUGAGAGGGUGACCGGCCACACUGGGACUGAGACACGGCCCAGACUCCUACGGGAGGCAGCAGUGGGGAAUAUUGCACAAUGGGCGCAAGCCUGAUGCAGCAACGCCGCGUGAGGGACGAAGGCCUUCGGGUUGUAAACCUCUUUUAGCAGGGAAGAAGCGAGAGUGACGGUACCUGCAGAAAAAGCACCGGCUAACUACGUGCCAGCAGCCGCGGUAAUACGUAGGGUGCAAGCGUUGUCCGGAAUUAUUGGGCGUAAAGAGCUCGUAGGCGGUUUGUCACGUCUGCUGUGAAAACCCGAGGCUCAACCUCGGGCUUGCAGUGGGUACGGGCAGACUAGAGUGCGGUAGGGGAGAUUGGAAUUCCUGGUGUAGCGGUGGAAUGCGCAGAUAUCANGAGGAACACCGAUGGCGAAGGCAGAUCUCUGGGCCGUAACUGACGCUGAGGAGCGAAAGCAUGGGGAGCAAACAGGCUUAGAUACCCUGGUAGUCCAUGCC